AGCUAUGUUCGGAUAAGAUAAGCACUGAAAGCAUAUAAGUGCGAAACUAACCACAAGAUUAGGCUUCUUUUAAGGGUCGUUGAAGAUGACAACGUUGAUAGGCUAUAAGUGUAAAGAUAGUAAUAUCAUAGCUGAGUAGUACUAAUUACCCGUAAGCUUAUAA
rnacentral:rRNA from 1 species